rnacentral:rRNA from 1 species
CAGCAGCCGCGGGAAUACGAAGGUCCCGAGCGUUGUUCGGAAUCACUGGGCGUAAAGGGAGCGUAGGCGGCGUGGUAAGUCAGAUGUGAAAUCCCGGGGCUCAACCCCGGAACUGCAUCCGAUACUGCCGUGCUAGAGGAUUGGAGAGGUAGCUGGAAUUCUUGGUGUAGCAGUGAAAUGCGUGGAGAUCAAGAGGAACACUCGUGGCGAAAGCGAGCUACUGGACGAUAUCUGACGCUGAGGCUCGAAGGCCAGGGUGGCGAAAGGGAUUAGAUACCCGGGUAGUCCCUGUCUCUUAUAC